rnacentral:rRNA from 1 species
CAGUAGCCGCGGGAAUACAGAGGGUGCGAGCGUUAAUCGGAUUUACUGGGCGUAAAGCGUGUGUAGGCGGCUUCUUAAGUCGGAUGUGAAAUCCCUGAGCUUAACUUAGGAAUUGCAUUCGAUACUGGGAAGCUAGAGUAUGGGAGAGGAUGGUAGAAUUCCAGGUGUAGCGGUGAAAUGCGUAGAGAUCUGGAGGAAUACCGAUGGCGAAGGCAGCCAUCUGGCCUAAUACUGACGCUGAGGUACGAAAGCAUGGGGAGCAAACAGGAUUAGAUACCCGAGUAGUCCCUGUCUCUUAUAC